rnacentral:rRNA from 1 species
CAGUCGCCACGGUAAUGCGUAGGGUGCGAGCGUUAAUCGGAAUUACUGGGCGUAAAGCGUGCGCAGGCGGUUGUGUAAGACAGAUGUGAAAUCCCCGGGCUCAACCUGGGAACUGCAUUUGUGACUGGCAAGCUAGAGUGUGGCAGAGGGGGGUGGAAUUCCGCGUGUAGCAGUGAAAUGCGUAGAUAUGCGGAGGAACACCGAUGGCGAAGGCAGCCCCCUGGGCCAACACUGACGCUCAUGCACGAAAGCGUGGGGAGCAAACAGGAUUAGAUACCCCAGUAGUCCCUGUCUCUUAUAC